AUGUUCGCGGAGGCGCUGCAGAUCCCCGCCGACCAGGCCGCGCUGGCGCUCGGGGCGCUCGCCGCCGUGCUUCCCGGUGACGACGACGCCCCCGCAGCGGACGACGCGUCGGAGGCCGACCUCCACGCAAACCCUAGCGCAGCUCAAGGCGAAGCUCGUGGCGCCGGGGCCGGGCACGUGGGUGGCGCGGUGCUCACGGAGGCGCUACAGAUCCCCGCCGAGCAGGUCGCGCCGGCGCUCGGGGUGCUCGCCGUCGUGCUCCCCGGCGACGACGACGACCCCGCAACGGACGGAGCUGGCGCCUCCCCGCCCCCAUCUAUCCACUCCGUCCAGGUCUCUCUCUCUCUCUCUCUCUCUCUCUCUCUCUCUCUCCCAGUUCCCGUUCUUAUGAGUUUAUCUGAUUUAUUUGUACCAAAAUGA
rnacentral:rRNA from 1 species